rnacentral:lncRNA from 1 species
GUCAACCACCCUCUUAAGCUGUCUGGAAGGAAAAAUUUCUUCUUAAUCAAGAAUGCCUCAACUAGAUAAAUUCACUUAGUCACAUAAUUAUUCUGAUCAUGCAUUUUACUCUUUACUUUCUAUAUUGCCAUAUGCAACUAUGGAGGUGGAGUACUUGGGAUCAAUAAGAAUUCUAAAACCACGAAACCAACUGAUUUUACAUCAGGAGAACAUCUAGAGCAACACCCCAAUAGAUUGAAAGAUAUCUAGAGAAAAUGUUUUAGCACCAAUAUAUCCUAUAUGUACUCCAGU